rnacentral:rRNA from 1 species
UACGUAGGGGGCGAGCGUUGUCCGGAUUUAUUGGGCGUAAAGAGCGUGUAGGCGGCCAGGUAGGUCUGCUGUGAAAACUCGAGGCUCAACCUCGAGACGUCGGCGGAAACCAUCUGGCUAGAGUCCGGAAGAGGAGAGUGGAAUUCCUGGUGUAGCGGUGAAAUGCGCAGAUAUCAGGAAGAACACCCGUGGCGAAGGCGGCCUGCUGGGCAGUGGCUGACACUGAGGCGCGACAGCGUGGGGAGCAAACAGG